CACCACAAAUCUUUAACAAAAAGAUGGAAAAGAAAAGGUACAAACGUUUACACGAGAGAAGUUGAAAGGACUUGGAUAGUGAGGGUCAUCUCCACUUUGAAAGUAAUAGCUGAAAGUUGGAAGUUCAGGCAGCCUAAACCAUUCACCAUUGAUGAACACCUCCAAAGAGGGAUAAACAGGGAAACCAGCCCUGCUGAAAGUUUUAAGUACAAAAUUAACCAAAAAAAAAAAAAAAAGCGGUUCAAAGUUCCAACUUUGAUUUCCAUCAAUGAAAGUUGCAAGGAAUUGAAGUAUAUUGCCUCAAUCUUUUCCAUUCAUAUUCUUUGCACACCUCUUGUUCAGAGAAGAACAAACAUUUUGAUGGUCCAUGGAAAAGAAAGAGAUGGCGGCAAAUCCUCUUCUGGCAGGAAUGCAAGACAAUCAAUGAUGCAGAGCUGCUGAGGUCCUUCUCUGGGCAGGAAUUCUGAGAGUGCGUGGUGUUUUGAUCAACAGAUUUCAAACUUGAUAGUCCAGAUGGUGUGAGUGGAAGAGAGCCGCUGUUGUUUGAGCACUGUCUCCAACAGAUCCUCACUUCCCCUGAUCUGAAAUUCUCCAAGGGAGACAUAGCACAGCUCGAUUCCACUGUUAAAAAAUACCCCAUAUUAUAAAUGCAAAUAUAGACUAGGCAAAAUGAAGAAAGCAAAAGAAAAGGAAGGUAAAUUACAAUUUACAAAUCAUCAGUGUUCAACCGAAGAUCGAUAUAUAUUUGUGGUGAAAUCUGUAGAGGAGCAACCAGCAUCCUUGUCAGCAUCCUUGUCAGCCUCCUUGUUUACUAACGCAAUGUACUGGCAUUCAUCCAAACACAAUUAAGUGGUGCUAAAUACAGAUAAGUGUCAAAUUAACUUUGAAUUUUGUUGGAAAAUUUGAGGACAAUCAAUAUAACAUAGCAACAGACAAGUUGUAUAGUUGAAUUACAUUGAUCUAUAAAGGAAGAAUAAAUUACACUCAAGUGUUCAACUACUUACACUGAAAUCUGUAGGCGCAGCAGCUAGCCACCAAGUCUAUUUACCUCCACCACAAAUCUUUAACAAAAAUAUGGAAAAGAAAAGGUACAAACGAUUACACGAGAGAAGUUGUAAGGACUUGGAUAGUGAGGUUCAUCUCCACUUUGAAAGUAAUAGCUGAAAGUUGGAAGUUCAGGCAGCCUAAACCAUUCGCCAUUGAUGAACAGCUCCAAAGAGGGAUAAACAGGGAAACCAGCCCUACUGAAAGUUUCAAGUAC
rnacentral:lncRNA from 1 species